AAUUAUGUUGAACAGGGAAUGAUACUGUUA
rnacentral:piRNA from 1 species